UACGUAGGGGGCUAGCGUUGUCCGGAAUCAUUGGGCGUAAAGCGCGUGUCGGCGGCCCGGUAAGUCCGCUGUGAAAGUCGGGGGCUCAACCCUCGGAUGCCGGUGGAUACUGUCGGGCUCGAGUACGGAAGAGGCGAGUGGAAUUCCUGGUGUAGCGGUGAAAUGCGCAGAUAUCAGGAGGAACACCGAUUGCGAAGGCAGCUCGCUGGGACGUGACUGACGCUGAGACGCGAAAGCGUGGGGAGCAAACAGG
rnacentral:rRNA from 1 species